rnacentral:rRNA from 1 species
UGCAAGUCGAGCGGUAACAGAUCUAGCUUGCUAGAUGCUGACGAGCGGCGGACGGGUGAGUAAUGCAUAGGAAUCUGCCCGAUAGUGGGGGAUAACGUGGGGAAACCCACGCUAAUACCGCAUACGUCCUACGGGAGAAAGGGGGCUCCGGCUCCCGCUAUUGGAUGAGCCUAUGUCGGAUUAGCUAGUUGGUGAGGUAACGGCUCACCAAGGCCGCGAUCCGUAGCUGGUCUGAGAGGAUGAUCAGCCACAUCGGGACUGAGACACGGCCCGAACUCCUACGGGAGGCAGCAGUGGGGAAUAUUGGACAAUGGGCGCAAGCCUGAUCCAGCCAUGCCGCGUGUGUGAAGAAGGCCCUCGGGUUGUAAAGCACUUUCAGCGAGGAAGAACGCCUGUCGGUUAAUACCCGGCAGGAAAGACAUCACUCGCAGAAGAAGCACCGGCUAACUCCGUGCCAGCAGCCGCGGUAAUACGGAGGGUGCAAGCGUUAAUCGGAAUUACUGGGCGUAAAGCGCGCGUAGGUGGCUUGAUAAGCCGGUUGUGAAAGCCCCGGGCUCAACCUGGGAACGGCAUCCGGAACUGUCAAGCUAGAGUGCAGGAGAGGAAGGUGGAAUUCCCGGUGUAGCGGUGAAAUGCGUAGAGAUCGGGAGGAAUACCAGUGGCGAAGGCGGCCUUCUGGACUGACACUGACACUGAGGUGCGAAAGCGUGGGUAGCAAACAGGAUUAGAUACCCUGGUAGUCCACGCCGUAAACGAUGUCGACCAGCCGUUGGGUGCCUUGUGCACUUUGUGGCGAAGUUAACGCGAUAAGUCGACCGCCUGGGGAGUACGGCCGCAAGGUUAAAACUCAAAUGAAUUGACGGGGGCCCGCACAAGCGGUGGAGCAUGUGGUUUAAUUCGAUGCAACGCGAAGAACCUUACCUACCCUUGACAUCCUGCGAAU